rnacentral:misc_RNA from 1 species
AAGGUGGCCAAUUUUUCUCCUCUAUCACGAUGCCAGCCCUGGCUGCAGCGUCUUCCCUCCGUUUUAGUUCCUUUUCCCUCUUGUUUAAUUCUGCCUCCUUGGCUUGGAGUUCCUUCUCCCUCUUUUUUAUAUCCUUCGAAUUAUCCAAAGGAAUAUCAAUUGUUGCAUUGCGGUCGUUGUAGAAAUCAGCUGGUUCAGGAGGCAGUGGUGAGAGCCUAGAAUUGGAAGCAGGAGGAACAGUGCUUGGGUGAGUUGUGUAGAAUGGACCUCCACCAUAAUUCGAUUGUCCAGCUCCUUUUCCACCUCCCGCGAAGGGGUUGACGUCA